rnacentral:lncRNA from 1 species
UGGAAUAAGUUGGUUCAACUGAGAAGAAACAGGAACAUUACUCGAUGAUGGACGAUUCGGGUUGUUGCUUGUAACAUUAGCCUGAAAAUAAAUGAAGAUAUUCAAAAAAUUAAUAAAUUUAAAAACAUUUAUUAAACUCACAUUUAUAUUGUCAAUUAACCGUUGUUCCAGCAUUUUAAAUCGUUUUUCGUUUUCUAUUUCUAACGCUUCCAUUCGUUUUUCAACGGCUUUGGAAACUGCCAAUUCAAAUUUUUCUGUGUUGUGCAUCUCAGUUUCCUCAUUGCUCAUUUUCUUUCUCCUCUUAUUUGCUAACAUAGAGUCAUCGCCAACUCUAAAUCCCAGAAUGCGCCCAUUUUUCUUUCCCUUUGAUGCUUUCAGCCAAGGUCCAAUAUGAUCGUUUUUAAACAGAGGCUUCGUAUGAAAUGUAGUUGAACCUUGAGACGAUAAAUUUUCAUCUUCGCUAUCGUCAUCAGAAUCAGAAUCACUGUCUUCUUGUCUUCGAAGUUCUUCAUUCAAAUUUUCAUAUUCGGCCUUUACGAAAAUCAAAUAUGAAAGAAUUAAGAAAAAAUAAAUAUAUUAUGAAUAAUUAAUAAAUGAUCACUCACCAUCAUAGUUUUUCCUCUAUCGUUUAACGGCGUAUGAGUUGACAAGAAUGC